GCAGGCCUUAAACAUGCAAGUCGAGCGGAUGAAGGGAGCUUGCUCCUGGAUUCAGCGGCGGACGGGUGAGUAAUGCCUAGGAAUCUGCCUGGUAGUGGGGGAUAACGUCCGGAAACGGGCGCUAAUACCGCAUACGUCCUGAGGGAGAAAGUGGGGGAUCUUCGGACCUCACGCUAUCAGAUGAGCCUAGGUCGGAUUAGCUAGUUGGUGGGGUAAAGGCCUACCAAGGCGACGAUCCGUAACUGGUCUGAGAGGAUGAUCAGUCACACUGGAACUGAGACACGGUCCAGACUCCUACGGGAGGCAGCAGUGGGGAAUAUUGGACAAUGGGCGAAAGCCUGAUCCAGCCAUGCCGCGUGUGUGAAGAAGGUCUUCGGAUUGUAAAGCACUUUAAGUUGGGAGGAAGGGCAGUAAGUUAAUACCUUGCUGUUUUGACGUUACCAACAGAAUAAGCACCGGCUAACUUCGUGCCAGCAGCCGCGGUAAUACGAAGGGUGCAAGCGUUAAUCGGAAUUACUGGGCGUAAAGCGCGCGUAGGUGGUUCAGCAAGUUGGAUGUGAAAUCCCCGGGCUCAACCUGGGAACUGCAUCCAAAACUACUGAGCUAGAGUACGGUAGAGGGUGGUGGAAUUUCCUGUGUAGCGGUGAAAUGCGUAGAUAUAGGAAGGAACACCAGUGGCGAAGGCGACCACCUGGACUGAUACUGACACUGAGGUGCGAAAGCGUGGGGAGCAAACAGAUUAG
rnacentral:rRNA from 1 species